rnacentral:lncRNA from 1 species
UGGGCCGGCGCUGAAGGGGCUUGGCCGCCCGGGUCCACCCGUUCCCGGAUCCGCCUCGCCGGCCCCCGCGCCCGCCCAACCCCUGCCCAGCCCCUCGGCUCCGCGAGUUUGGGUGAGAAGUGCGGCGGCUUUUCCCAGGGAUGGAGUUUAGAGGACGCUAAUCCUAUGUGUGAGCGGCGGACCCCGCCCGGACUUCCCGGAGGCGCCCGGUUAGUGAGGCGACGGCGCCCACCCGCGUUCGCGGGCUCCCGGCCGCCACUCCCCGGAGCCGCCGGCCCGCCCCAGCCCCGCGCGUCGCCCGGGAGGGCGGGCUGCACUCCCUCCACGUACCUGGCUGGCAGAGCGUCUCCAGGGACAAAAGGUGCCCUGGGAUCAAAGCCGAGCCCCCGCCCCCGCGGGGAUGCUGCCCUCCGGAAGGAGGGGCGCUGCCCCCAAGGUACUCUCCCCGGGCACCCAGGGGGAGGUUCCAUUUCAACCUCCGAUGAAAAACACGGCCCUCCCGGGUACUUAGGAGGGUCUGAGGGUAAGUGCCAAGAUGGAGAAAACACGCCGGCCCCUCACAGAGUAUCUCCUGAGGAAUGAGAACUAUCUAGCGGGCAAGGAGGGCUUCCUGCAUAGCAGAGGGCACCCCCUCUGAUCCCCCAAGGCCAAGGGAAAAAAAUCACUCUUCACCGGCGCCCCUGAGCCAGGACAGGCUCCAGUGCAGCCACCCACCUUAUAAUUUUCCGCGGAUGCUGCCUUGAUCAGAUGUCUGAAGAUGACUUUAAGGACUACAAGCAAAUCUCAAGGGAAAAAUUCAGACCUUGAACAACAGCCUUGAACUUUUUCAGGGUUAGACAAGUACUCCCCAGUGGAGUUUCUGCCCUUAUUUCUUCGUUCUUCUCUUAAUUCUUCCAUAUUUUAACAGAACACAGACCUGCCGAAACGACACAGGAUGGCUCUUUGCUUUUUGUUAGUUCUCCAACCUUCCAAACCCUUGGGGCACAUGCAAGCACUGUGGAAAAACUUCAUUAAACCAAGAGUCAUCUUACUCCAGAUCCCAGACUGCUUGGGAAGUUGGACAUGCAUAUUCCCAAAGAGAACAGUGUUGGAAGAAGACAGGAGAGCAGCUCGCGGGUUGGGGGUAGAGGGUAGGAAAAGAGGGCAAGAUGGAGGACUACCACUCGAGGCCAGCCUCCACUGCCUGUUAGGGCGGUAGAACCUAAGAGCCGGUCCAAGGCAACACAAAAGACAGUGAGGCUAGGUCUUUAAUUGCAGCCAACGAUCAAGAAAGCAACUCCAUCAAAUGACACUGUCUUUUUAAAAAAAAUUUUUUUUUUUUGAGACAGAGUCUCGCUCUGUCGCCCAGGCUGGAGUGCAGUGGUGCGAUCUUGGCUCACUGCAACCUCUGCCACCCGGGUUCAAGCAGUUCUCCCUGCCUCAGCCUCCUGAGUAGCCGGGAUUACAGGCACGCGCUACCAGGCCCGGCUAAUUUUUUUUUUUUUUCUUUUUUGGUAGAAUCGAGGUUUUGCCAUGUUGGCCACGUUGGUCUCGAAUUCCUGACCUCAGUUGAUCCGCCCAUCUCAGCCUCCCAAAGUGCUGGGAUUUCAAGCGUUAGCCACCGCACUCGACCAAAUGACACUGUCUUAAAUGAUUUAAUGUCUUAAAUCGGGAAAGGAGAGUAAGAGAAAGCACUCAAUGGAGUCAGAGGUGUCUUGCAGCCUAGCUCUUUCCACAGACAAGCCACAUGGGCCUAUCAUCUAACCUUUUCAAACUUCUCCAACUGCUUCUGUGAUGGAGGGAUUUGGGCUAGAGGAUCUUUUUAUUUUAUUUUAUUUUAUUUUAUUUUGGUGACAGAGUCUCACACUGUCGCCCGGGCUGAAGUGCAGUGGCACAAUCUCAGCUUGCUGCAACCUCUUUCUCCUGGGUUCAUGCGAUUCUCCCGCCUCAGCCUCCCAACUAGCUGGGAUUACAGGCGCACACCACCACACCUGGCUUAUUUUUUGUGUUUUUAGUAGAGACGGAGUUUCACUAUGUUGGCCAGACUGGUCUCGAACUCCUGACCUCGUGAUCCGCCCACCUCGGCCUCCCAAAGUGCUGUGAUUACAGGCAUGAGCCACCGCGCCUGGCCGAUGAUCCCAUUUUUCAAAGUAGGCUGGGUGCGGUAGCUCACGCCUGUAAUCCCAGCACUCUGGGAGGCUAAGGCGGGUGGAUCACUUGAGGCCAGCAGUUCGAGACCAGCCUGGCCAACAUGGUGAAACCCCGUGUCUACUAAAAAUACAAAAAUUAGCUCGGCAUAGUGGUACGUACCUGUACUUUCAGCUACUUGGGAGGUUGAGACAGGAGAAUUUUGCUUGAACCCAGGAGGCGGAGGUUGCAGUGAGCCAAGAUGGCACCACUGCACUCCAUUCUGGGUGACAGAGUGAGACCCUGUCUCAAAAAUAAUGAUAAUAAAAUAAAAGUAAUUAUUUAAGGCUGGGAGCGGUGGCUCACGCCUGUAAUCACAGCAUUUUGGGAGGCCGAGGCGGUGGAUCAUGAGGUCAGGAGGUCGAGACCAUCCUGUCUUAACACGGUGAAACCCUGUCUCUACUAAAAAUACAAAAAAAUUAGCCAGGCGUGGUGGCGGGCGCCUGUAGUCCCAGCUACUCGGGAGGCUAAGGCAGGAGAAUCGCUUGAACCCAGGAGGCGGAGGUUGCAGUGAGCCGAGAUCACACCACUGCACUCCAGCCUGGGUGACAGAGCGAGACUCCGUCUCAAAAAAAAUAAUUAUUAUUUAAAAUAAUCAUUGGGCCUGGCGCGGUGGCUCACACCUGUAAUCCUAGCACUUUGGGAGGCCAAGGCGGGUGGAUCACGAGGUCAGGAGAUUGAGAUCCAGCCUGGCCAACAUGGUGAAACCCCAUCUCUGCUAAAAAUAUUUUUUAAAUUAGCUGAGCGUGGUGGUGGGCACCUGUAAUCCCAGCUAGUCGGGAGACUGAGGCAGGAGAAUCGCUUGAACCUGGGAGUCGAAGGUUGCAGUGAGCCGAGGUCGUGCCACUGCAGUCCACCUGGCCAACACAGCAGGCCUCUCUCUAAAAUAAUAAUUAUUAUUAUUGUUAUUCUUGACAGGCCAGUGUAGAACAGGUGGGGCAUCUGUGGUAUGACAGAACUGGGUUCCAAUUCUGUCCCUUCACCUGUCCCAGGUUCCUCAUCUGAAAACUGUGACCCAGUAAACCUAAUUUCAUGAGCAGCUUUCAUUAAAAUUGAAAUAAUGUUGGAAAAUGCCUUGUAACCGUGCUUGAUAUAGAGUAGUUACUUAGCCAGUUAUUUCCUCUCUUCUUCCAAUUCCUAACAAAAUGGAAAAACGUUUGGUUGCUAGGAAAGAGCUCUAAGGGGAUUUUGUUGUUGUUUGAGACAAAGUUUGGCUCUAUCGCCCAGGAUGGAGUGCAAUGGCACAAUCUCUGCUCACUGCAACCUCCGCCAUAGACAGGAGCCAAGCAUAGUGGCGUGCACCUGUCUGUAGUUCCAGCCUCUUAGGAGGCUGAGGCAGGAGGGUUGCUUGAGGCCAGGAGUUUGAGUCUAGCUUGGGCAAUAUAUUGAAACCUUGUCUCUUAAAAAAAAAAAAAAAAGAGGCCAGGUGUAGUGGCUCACGCCUGUAAUCCCAGCACAUUGGGAGGCCGAGGCAGUGGAUCACUUGACCCCAGGAGUUGGAGACCAGCCUGGGCAACAUGCAAACUUCCGUCUUCUAGGCCGGGCGCGGUGGCUCAACACCUGUAAUACCAGCACUUUGGUAGGCCGAGGCGGGCAGAUCACGAGGUCAGGAGAUCGAGACCAUCCUGGCUAAGGUGAAACCCAGUCUCUACUAAAAAUAAAAAAAAAAUUAGCCGGGUGUGGUGGCUGGCACCUGUAGUCCCGGCUACUUGGGAGGCUGAGGCAGGAGAAUGGCAUGAACCCAGGAGGUGGAGCUUGCAGUAAGCCGAGACCGCACCACUGCACUCCAGCCCAGGCAACAGAGCUAGACGCCCUCUCAAAUAAAAGUAAAUAAAUAAAUAAAAUUAUGUCAUUAAAAAAAAAUACAGGGCCGGGCGCGGUGGCUCAUGCUUGUAAUCCCAGCACUUUGGGAGGGUGAAGCGGGUGAAUCACGAGGUCAGGAGAUGGAGAGCAUCCUGGCUAACACAGUGAAACCCCGUCUCUACUAAAAAUACAAAAAAUUAGCCGGGCAAGGCAGCGUGUGUCUGUAGUCCCAGCUGCUGGGGAGGCUGAGGCAGGAGAAUGGCAUGAACCCAGGAGGCAGAGCUUGCAGUGAGCCAAGAUCCCGCCACUGCACUCCAGCCUGGGCGACAGAGCGAGACUCGGUCUCAAAAAAUAAUAAUUAACAAAAAAAAAUACAAAAGUUAGAUGCGCAUGUUGCCAUAUGCUCGUGGUCCCAGCUACUCGGCAAGCUGAGGUUGGGAGAUCACUUGAGCCCAGAAGGUGGAGGUUGCAGUGAGCUGAGAACCCACCAUUGUACUCCAGCCUGCGUGUCAGUGAGAUUCUGUCUCAAAAAAAAGAAAAGAAAAAAAAUCUAGGCUAUGCUCCCUAGUAUGGGAAAUCUAGUCUAGUCAUUUGGCAGAAUCAGGCUUUGCGGGCCAUAUUGUCUCUGUCGUAACUACCAACUCUGCUGGUUAAAAGGGAAGUAGCCACAAACAAUGUCUGAAUGAUGGAUUAUGGCUGUGUUCCAAUAAAACUUUAUUUGCAAAAACAGGUUGCUGGUUGCAAGGUAGUUUUCCAACCUCUACGUGAUUCUCAGACUUUAGGUUGCAUCAUAAUCACCUGGAGGGCUUGUUCAAACGCAGAUUGCUGGGCCCCACCCCCAGAAUUUUUUAUUCAGCCAGUCUGGGGUGGGGCUGAUAUUUGUAUGUCUAACAACUUUCCAGGUGAGGCUGGUUGAUGAUGGUCUGGAAACCACUUUGAAAACCUCUGAAGCUUUUCUCAACUCCCUUUGUGUACCUAAAACACUUUAUCCCUACUGUAGAUGUAGUAUUUAGCGUGUUAUAUUAGUUUAGUGAUUGGUGUGUGGGUCUCUGGGAGCCUUUCUGAAUCACCUCCCUAGCCUAGUGCCUGACAAUAGCAAUUUGCUCCCCAUUCAUUGACUGAACUGAAACCAGAGGGUCAUGGUCAUCAUCAUUGUUCCAAGCCAUAGAUAGAAGAUGAAGUCACCACCCCCGAUCUCAGAGCUCAUCAGAGUAGAGCUUGGGCUGGACUAUGCCCUUCUCUGCAGUGAGCAGUUUUCUCUGUGGAGCUCUGCAACCUGGAGCCAGCCCUGCCUGGGGUAAGAGGAAAAAGGACUCCUUCCCCCCAGCCCCACAGCCUGUACGCAAACACACCAGGAGACAUGACCUGCUCAGAGGAGACCUGGAACCAAGGGAAUAAAAUGAGAGUGGGUUGGGGGCUUGGCUGUUUGUUAUUUUUUUGCUUGUAAGUGGACAAUUUGUGGUGUGGUGUGUGAAUUUGGGGUCUUAAAUCCAGAUAGCUGUCUGCUGUGGACAGCCACUGUUUCUGAAUUACAGGGCAUUUCAAGUGACCUGUGGUCAGGAUGUUUUCUCUCAGAUCAGGCAAAAUCAAUUGGUCCUGAUAAUAACCAGGGGAGUUGUACUUUCCCUAUCUUGAGUAGAAGACACAGCUCCCAGGUCCACCUGUCUCUCCUGACUGCCCACCUCCUGG